UUUCCUCCUGUUUUGCAACCCUGGAAGCUCUUUCUUUAGUUCUCUUCAAAAUCCUAGAUCCACCCAUGGAGACCAGCCUUCGUGUGAGGGUUUUGGCUUUAGUUCGGCAGUGUCCUGCUCUGGACAGCCAAAACUCUGGGGGGGGAAAAAAUUUCCCCCCUACUUCCUUCUGCUUUUUUAAAACAAGCUGCAUACUAUAUUAUGGGAUGUUAUAUGCAAGAACAUACAGUAGUUUCCAGUAGCAAAGAGGAGGUUCAGCGUGGCGGUCAGGAUUGAUUCAUUAUAGGCAGAAUUCAUAGUUGAUCCAAAGCCACGGUCAGGUAUUUGAUGGGACGUCCCUGCACUUUAUAAUGUCUUGCGUGAUUGCUGAUAUCCCCGCCCCAGGAGCACUGUCAUCUUUGGCCUACAGACUUGUGUGGCGACUGUAACUCACUCCAGAGUGGUUGUGCUCUCCCCCAUAAUAGCUGGAGGGACCUUCGUUGUCCCCAGUAACUUACAGAUGGUGGUGAUGAUGCUGCCGUAUCUGUAGCUGGUCCCAUACAGGGAAGACAGGGCGGUGACUGCAGCUGUAGCAAUGCUGUCCUGGAAUGAAAGAGAAAGGGGAGGACAAUGAGCUUGGCGAAGCUAAUGGAUGGAGAGGAUGUGGACUGGAGCAGGAGCCCAGGGCUGGGGAAGAGGUUCUUACAGCUUCUCCACUUUUGCUUGGGUGAGGUGGGAGGGAGACUAAGGAUGAAGACUCAAAGGGCUGUGAAGAUAUAUGACGGAUUAGAGUGCCCUGCAGGACUCCUUCCCUACAGCUUUAUGGACCUUCCCUUCCCAUGCUCUAUUCCCCAUCUCGAGACCUUUCCCGCAGCAGAAUUGGAGACCUCCCUAGCUUCCCUUUGUCCUGCAACCUGACUCUGAUACAUGCUACACUAUCCCAUAGGGCUUUGCCUACACUGCCCUUCAGUCCCGGUGCCUGGAGCACGGCUCUUUUUGCUCAGCACAGAAGACACAUUAUUGUUCCCUGUUGAUCGACUCUGCAGCAGUUGAACUGGACUGAACACCCGUUGGCACCUACAGCCUAUCUGAUGCAUAUGCACAAGUUUUAAAAGCCUCUGGUCUAUGCCGUUCUUUUUAUUCCCCCCCCCCAUCCUAAAAAAUGUAAUAAAGGAAUUUGAUUUCAAAGAAAAGGCUGAUGAAAAGACAGCAGAAACUGAGGCAGAGUAAGUAGGGUGUUGGAACAGAGGGUUCACUCUUUUCUGACCAAUACUGAGCACCUAAACAUCUCUUCUACCUUUCCAGGUAGAGAGAGCUAUAAUAGAUGCAUGGGCUAGACUCCAGCAGACAGGUCUGAGAGAGACUUGGUGGAAACCAAAACCGCGACUCCAAGAGCUAUCCAAGAUAGUUGGAUCUGCUCGCUGGAAUAAAGGAGGAUAUCUGUUUGCUGCAACAGUAGUAAGGCUAUUAUGCUUUCUGCAAUUGAGCCAUUAGAAGACAACACUGAUGACAUGAAAUACCAGGAUGCUAAAGCUGUAUUCAUAGAUGUUAGGGUCGGAAGAGACCUCAAUAGAUCAUCGAGUCCGACCCCCAUUUGUAUUCUGCAGAUGGGAUGUGGUGCUGGUCCCCUGUUUCCUUGUCUCUUCCUUCAGUGCAAUCCUGUUAGUUGAGCCUUUCCCCUCACCACUCUGGCUGGGUCAUUUGUAUCUUCAACCAGUUGCCCUAGAUUUUUGUAACUGGUUCAUUAUAUUCCCAGAGCCACUCCAAAAUCUGCUGCAGCAGGUGCAGUGGUACCUGAUGAGUGAGGGCAAAGAGGCCUUUGACCCCCAAGUAGCUGGCUGUGCGUAUAUAAACAGAAAAGGGGAUGUGGGUCUAGAGAAGGAGAAAAUAUCUAUAAACGAGGUAAAGGGGUUUGGGAUCAGUCUGGUUAGUGAGUGACCCCAGGAGACUAAACACCACUCGGGUCCCCCUUAGAAACACAAAACCCCAUGUUUAAGAGUCUCCAAAGUGGGUCGUCUGUCUUACCAAUUCCUUUUGGUUAGGAACUGGGGUUUUGGUGUAGCCAUAAGGAUACAAGAGGAGCUGAGAGUAGCUGUGGAUGGAGAUGAAGGCUUUGAUGUUUCCAUGCUGCUUCACAAAGUCCACGAUGGCUUUCACCUCAGGCUCUGAGUUGGCGUGGGGGCCAUGGUAAGUCUCGGAGCAGGGGUUCCUACUGGAUCCAAGCCCUGCAGAGGAGGAAAUAAUAUUUUUGCUUCAAAAGCACGCAGCGUGAGAAUGAUGACUUUAUUCUUCAAAGAGAGCAUGACUGGGUGGCUCAAAGGUUUAGCAGCAGUGGAGAGUUUUCCAUCUCUAGGACUGAGCUACUUGAAACGAACUCUCUUCCCAUCUACCUACUGCUUGGUAUGGGACAUGAAUAUGGGGCCUUCUCCUAGCUGUUCCCAUAACUUGGGAACAGGCCUCCCUCUCUGGCAAAACAGAAAGGCCAAGGAUCAGGUGGGUUGUGGCAUCUGAACUCUCUUCUCCCACUGAGAGAGAGUUUCUGCAGGAAACUGUAGUGACAGAAAUGGACCUGAUCACCUGGCCAUCUCUGCUCUGACAGAUGUGGAGGGGGGUCACUGUCUGGGGCUGCCAAUCCAGCCCCUUUAUGUCCCUUGGGACAUUGCCCAGACUCAACAGAGAGGUGAUGCUAGAAGGCAAUUUGUAAGCUGCUAUGUAGGGUGGGUGUAAAGGGAUAUAUCCACAGACUGUUCCUGUGAGUGGCUUCUAUGGUGCAAGGACGCCUGUCUGAGUGAGAAGCGCUGAAAGGACACUAAAAAGAGGUUACUGCUAACUCUGGGGAGAAUGCAAUGCUGUAUUGGACCAGCCACUGGAAGAAGGUGUCUCUAUGCCCUCUUCCAUGAACAUGAAUCCUGUUUAAAUGAAACUUAAAAAUCAAUGUCCUUUCUUCCAGGACUGGGUCUGGCUGCACUCCCCUACCCAGGAUAUAGCCACAAGGUCAUACAACAAAGAUUGUGCACAGAAGCUGAGAGAGAAACAAAUUGUCCAGGCCCAGAGAGCUUGCCUGGGGCCGCAAGGAGCAGCAGCGAGGGAUGUGGAGUAUAAUGUAAAGCCGAGAGAGAAGAGCAGUGCCGAGGAUAAAACAGUGGACCAGAACGCAAGAGAUGUGGGCUCUGUUCCCGGCUCUGCCACUGAUCAGCUGGGAAAAGCUGGGGAUGCGGGGAUGGUACCUUCUUUGCAAACCAGACUCCGGUGGCCUGAGUGACCCAUUCCCGAGAGUGGAUGCCGGUGUCAAUCCAAAUCGCUGGGCGGUUGGGUCCUCCCGUGCUGAACUACGUGGGAAAGGACAAAUGCACAGGAGUUAGUUUCUGCUCCUCCGUCGUUUCCUGGCCCAGAGCUGAAUGCUGCUGGGCUCUCUUGUUGCAGUACCUAGACAACCCCAGCCAUUUCCAUGCCUCAGAUGUCCCUUCCCCACCCUCCCUUUUUUUUUAAAUGCCACUGUGUCAAGGAACUCACUUCACGUGCUGUAUUUUUCACACAUAACAUGCAUCUUUCCCCUCCAAAGUCAGCUACCCCAAAUUAGGAUGUGCAUAUUAAGCAAGGAAGUUGAUUUUCUGCCCAGAAUAGACAUUUCUUCCUUUGAUUUCUGCUUCGCAGUACAGCAGCUGUUGCAUUGCUAUUCAAGCACCCAAGGGAGUCAUGUGACUUAAUGGCUUAUUGCUCUUCACUCCAGAGGUAUUAAUGAUCAGCAAUCCUUUUUUAAUGGUCUUGAUGUUCCACUAAUCAAGCUAACCUAGCUAAGGGUAAUUUUGCUGUCUGCUAGCAGCUCCUGGUUUAUCUCCUUCUAUUUCACAGCCUUGGAGACUCUUUAGCUCUUUUCAAAAUCAUAGAUCCACCCGUGAAGACCAGUCUCCAGCAACAGCUAGGGUGUCAAGAAGCAUGAGUGAUCUCUGUCCUAACUCCAGCCCUACCUCUGAAAAACCCUUUUUUUCCCUUCAUUCUGCCUUUCAAAAACAAGCUGCAUAAAAUAUUCAGUAGCAUGUUGCAUCUGAGAAAAUACAGAAGAUCUAUUUUCCCUUAUAUAGGCCCCAUCAACCAUAAUGACUAGACCUUAUGGUGCUUUACAGAUACGUUGCUUAGCUCUUCACUCACUGCUGAAAAACACCUGCCUCUUGAUUGGAAUAUGACAACACUACUGGAUCGUAGGCAUUAAUGGAAAUGAAUGUGGUGGGGGAUUUGGAUGGACCCCAGUUAGGUUUUGGCUCCUGGAUCAGAGUUGACAAGCCUACUUUUGCAAAAUUAUCUUGUGUGAUCUUUCAUGAUCACAGGUAGUCAGGAAUAGAGCUGUGCAAAUGCCACACGUCCCAGUUUGCUGGUUGCACCACAAAAAUCAGGGGGAGUGAGUUGUUUCUGAGGCAAGCCAAAAUGAAAUUCUUUAAAAGAAAUCAGUCAAUCAAGAAAUAACCUUGUUUUGACUCAGGUGAAAUGUUUGCUCUAAACUGAAAUGAAAUGUUUUCUUUUGGUUUUGGUAUCCAGGUUGUACCUGUAUUGGUCUGGAGGCAAAAGGAAUCGCAACCCGUGCUCGAGGUGAUAUCUUGCAUUAUUAGACCAACUAGAUUUUUGCAAAAAACUUUCUUUAAUGAAAACAUCCAGUUGGCCUAAUAAAAGAUAUCACCUCUCCCACAGGUUCUGAUUCCUUUCCUUUGUUUUUCACUUUUUAAAAAAUUGUAAUAGAAUAGAAGCGCCUUUCAAAAUGCAAUGCCAUGUUGCAGCAAAUGCUGCAGUAUUUUUGUUUUUUAACAAGUUAAAAUAAAAUUUGGACACGUUCAGAACUUUUUCCUGACAUUUUUAACAGAACAGUUUGCCAACAUGGAUGUGAAGUUGUCUCGUGCUUUGGUUGGCCUGAAUCUGAAUUUUACAUCAUUUUUGCCUGGAAUUUUUUUUUUUUUUUUUUUGCCUGGCAAUCAUUUUUGCCUGGAAAAUUUCACCACUUCUCAUCUAGACUUUAGCUUUUUUCUCCUUAGUUUUUUUUCUCCAAAACGUGGCCUUUCCAGCAGCCCUCUGCCCUCUAACAUCUGGCUGGGGCAUCGGCUUAGCACUGAGUCAGCUGGAAUGACCAAGUCGUACAGGUGACGGGAAAACUGGUGUUGAAAGGGGCUUUUCCAACAACAGUAUAAGACUUUGUCAACCAGAAGGAAAUUUUCAAAAGCAAACUUGUUUUGUCCAAAUAUUUUUGUUUUAACAAAAACUAUAAAAAUUCAAAAGAAAAUGUUUCCUUCGGUCUACAUUUUUUCAAAGGAAAAUAUCACUUUCUCACCAGCUCGCUGGUGAACAACACAGCUCUUCCACCUGCGUAUGGACUCAUUCCCGUACAGCAUAGUAGACGGGUCCAUCAUGAAGUACACUCUGUCCCCCACAACUUGACAGAGGGCAUUGAGAAUAAUUGCAAUAUUUGGUGGUAAAGAACAGCUGGGAAGAGGCAGAAACCAAGUUGGGUAAAUGUGCUUUGCAGGGGUAUUUGGGAAGCAGAUGUUGCCUGUUAACCAGCCCUGUCCAGUGGUUAUCAAAGUUCAGUGCUGUCUUCUCAAUACCUUUAUGAAGGGGUCUGCCUUCCAGCUGCAUCGUCCCCUUUACACCUCCUGCCCCCCAUUUUGAUUCCUGGUUCAUUUAACGUUAAAAACCUGGGAUUGAUAGCAACAUAUCUGUCCAGGCAGCAGUGCCAGAGUCAACUGACUUCAUGGCUCAUGAUAAUCUACCUGAUUCCUUCUCAACUUUUCAGUCCAUGAGUGUGAACAGCCCCCUCUCCUUUUUAAUGGUCUUGAUUUUCUGCUAAUCAAGCUAGCCUUUCUUCUGCAAGUCUGCUAAUCUGUUAGCUGCCCGUGGUAAUGUAACUUCUACUUCACAGCCCUGCAAACAGUUUUUAACUCUAGCUAGAAACAUGAACUCAGGUGUGGAAAUAACUGUUAGUGAAGCAUUGGUUGCACUGACGAGGUGCUCCAGAAGGCUAGAUUUUGUUUUAUGAAUCUGAAAAAGAGAUGUCCAUUUAAUUCUAAUGGCUGCAGGACUAAUGAAACAGCGUCUUUUGAUUAUUUCUUGUCUAGUUGGGGGUUUUUUAUG